rnacentral:antisense_RNA from 1 species
AAUCAUCAGGUGGUGAAGUCAGCCUGACUUCUGUCCUUCCCUUCAGGGUGGUAAUUAUCCAGUUGAUAUUUAUCUUGUUCCAGUCACCUUAAGAAAGCUGUUUGCUCUCAAAUCUCCUCUAUUGAUUGAUCUGAGUUGGCUGAUGAGUUGGCAGGUUUUGGAAAUCACUAGUGGGUAAAAAAGACCAAUUUGCAACUAGGCUGUCAUGCUCUGUUGAAAACUAUGUCACAAUAUCACAAUACUAGAUGUUGGGCUCAAGACAGCAAACAGAAAGCAGCAAGGGCAGUGACUGGAAGCUGGGAGAGAGGGUCAACAGCUGAAUCUCAGCCUGAUAGAGGCCAC